GACGAACGCUGGCGGCGUGCCUAAUACAUGCAAGUAGAACGCUGAAGGAGGAGCUUGCUCUUCUGGAUGAGUUGCGAACGGGUGAGUAACGCGUAGGUAACCUGCCUGGUAGCGGGGGAUAACUAUUGGAAACGAUAGCUAAUACCGCAUAAGAGUAGAUGUUGCAUGACAUUUACUUAAAAGGUGCAAUUGCAUCACUACCAGAUGGACCUGCGUUGUAUUAGCUAGUUGGUGGGGUAACGGCUUACCAAGGCGACGAUACAUAGCCGACCUGAGAGGGUGGUCGGCCACACUGGGACUGGGACACGGCCCAGACUCCUACGGGAGGCAGCAGUAGGGAAUCUUCGGCAAUGGACGGAAGUCUGACCGAGCAACGCCGCGUGAGUGAAGAAGGUUUUCGGAUCGUAAAGCUCUGUUGUAAGAGAAGAACGAGUGUGAGAGUGGAAAGUUCACACUGUGACGGUAUCUUACCAGAAAGGGACGGCUAACUACGUG
rnacentral:rRNA from 1 species